rnacentral:rRNA from 1 species
AACGAACGUUGGCGGCGCGCCUAACACAUGCAAGUCGCACGCGAAAGGGAGCAAUCCCCGGUAGAGUGGCGCACGGGUGAGUAACACGUGGAUAAUCUUCCCUUGAGCGGGGGAUAACCUUCCGAAAGGAGGGCUAAUACAGCAUGGGACCACAUGGUUUUGACCGAGUGGUGAAAGCGGGCCUCUGUACACAAGCUCGCGCUCUGGGAUGGGUCUGCGUCCCAUCAGCUAGUUGGUGAGGUAACGGCUCACCAAGGCAACGACGGGUAGCGGGUCUGAGAGGAUGACCAGCCACACUGGAACUGAGACACGGUCCAGACUCCUACGGGAGGCAGCAGUGGGGAAUCUUGCGCAAUGGGCGAAAGCCUGACGCAGCGAUGCCGCGUGGGUGAUGAAGGCCCUCGGGUUGUAAAGCCCUGUGGGGAGGAACGAACCGCGUGAGAGCGAAUACCUUUCACGUCUGACGGUACCUCCUUAGCAAGCAUCGGCUAACUCUGUGCCAGCCGCCGCCGUAAAAC